GAUGAACGCUGGCGGCGUGCCUAAUACAUGCCAGUCGAGCGAACAGACGAGGAGCUUGCUCCUCUGACGUUAGCGGCGGACGGGUGAGUAACACGUGGAUAACCUACCUAUAAGACUGGGAUAACUUCGGGAAACCGGAGCUAAUACCGGAUAAUAUAUUGAACCGCAUGGUUCAAUAGUGAAAGACGGUUUUGCUGUCACUUAUAGAUGGAUCCGCGCCGCAUUAGCUAGUUGGUAAGGUAACGGCUUACCAAGGCAACGAUGCGUAGCCGACCUGAGAGGGUGAUCGGCCACACUGGAACUGAGACACGGCCCAGACUCCUACGGGAGGCAGCAGUAGGGAAUCUUCCGCAAUGGGCGAAAGCCUGACGGAGCAACGCCGCGUGAGUGAUGAAGGUCUUCGGAUCGUAAAACUCUGUUAUUAGGGAAGAACAAAUGUGUAAGUAACUAUGCACGUCUUGACGGUACCUAAUCAGAAAGCCACGGCUAACUACGUG
rnacentral:rRNA from 1 species